ensembl:lncRNA
ACUAUUCAAUAGGAAUUUAAUGACAUGUUAACAAUUGUAUUUCUUUACUUGAAAUUUGGUCCCAGGAAAGUUUUAAGGUUAUGCCCACUUGUUAGACUGGGUGGAUUAUAUAUGUUUUCUAUUGUUGCCACAGAAAGUUGCUGGAAAAAUUUAAUAUUUUAUUUUCUCAUUAAGGCAAUGCUGAAGAACUUUGCAGCAAAUAGUGAUAAUAGUAUAUCCUAAAAACAAAGUUGUAGUCAUGCUUUAUAGAUACAAUUAUUGGUCCCUGAAAAAGAUUAAGAUUUUUUUAAUAACAAAGAUUACCAAUAAUAAACAUUAUUAGUAAUAAACAUAAUUACUAAAGAUAGUAAUAUGUUCCCGUGCCUAAAGAUGGAAAUAAGCAUGAUCUACAUUGAUUAUCCAGGGAAUUCUAAAUAGAGAUUUAAGUAUGCAUUGAUGUUUUGAUUGCUGUUGCCAACUUUUUUAAACUUAAAAUGAUAGCUUUAGUUUUCCUUGCUUUGGAAAAAAGUCCUUGUAAAGGUUAGUUGUAUGACCCUGGCAAUUUUAACUGAUGCAUUUCACUAUGUUGACCUUGAAAAUCAUUUCACUGUCUAAAUAGUUCAUUUCAAAUUGCUUGUUAAAUAUUUGUGGAUGGUAUUCCACAAAAUUUUAAAAGAAUUUUAAUUUGACCAAAUUUGGUAUCAUCAGAAAAGUGCUGUUUAACAUGAGCUCAUAUUGUUUUGCUAUAGCCAAGUCUGUACCAGCUUUCAGAGGAAGCCUGCAGAAAGAAAAAUGUUGUGUAGACAAUUUUGUAUUUGAUGAUACGUCAUGUUAAUUCUCUUGAAUAGAGACCAAAAGGCCUGUAAUAACUUAAUCCAUCCUAAAACUAGUCCAAUCCUGUUUUUCUGAUAGGGAAAUAAUCUCAGCCUGGUUAGCUGAUUUAUUUGCUCAAAGCCUUUGGAGCCCUCUGGAUUAGAAAAGAUGAGCAUUCUAUCACUGUUUUGCAUUGUUUAAAAUUUGGACCAUGGACUUCAGCUAACAUUUAUCUUAAACUUGAUUCUCACAGUCCAUGUAUUUGUGACUUUUGACAUGAAAGGAGUAUAUUGCCAGAGACAUGAAGGCUUGUGUGUAUGCAGGGUCUUAUUUUCUUAAGUAUGCUGAAAGUCUCAGUGUAUCUAUAAAUACUUUUUUUACUUUUAAAAAAAGUUUUUGAGUAUUAAUUGUACAUGGCCCCUGAAGGAAAAAAUACUGGCAUGUUACAUUAAAUGGCAGUGAGUUAGCCUCAUUAUUCAGUAACUUAGAGAUACAUUACAAUAAAAGUCCCAACCAAAAGAACUCUGCCCAAAAAUGAACAACCAUUGUAAUAGUUGUAUUAGUAUCCAUUGGUUAAGAAAAGACUUCUGACACUACCAAUGCCUCUGUGUCUUAUUAUAAUAUCUUUGGAUGUUGGAUAUGUUUGUGCAAUUCAGAUUGUAACCUAUUGAUUGAUAACUUUCUCAUCCUGUGUACUAUAUGUCCAUGCAUUCCUUUCAGUCCUCCACAGGACGUCCACCCAUGUCCUGGAGACGUUAGAUAGAUGGCUUUCAUUACUACAUAUGGCUUUUGAUUGCUCUUAAGAUUGACCCAUCCCUUUUCUGGUCAUAUCUCUUGAUACUUGGUUUGUGUGUGCAAUGUCGUUGGUCACAUACUGAAGCCUGUUCAGGAAAGGCCACCAAGCAUUUCCUUAGUGCCCUUUGGGUGACCAGUAAUUGAUACCUCAGGGAUUGUGGUAAUUCAUUAUUUACAUCCAAAUAGCAUUGCCAGAAGAAAGAAUAUACAUGUUUUGUUGUUUUUUUAAGUGAGAUUUUGUAUAAAGAGAAUGGUUGUUAAAAGUGCUGCCCAUUUUCUGAAAGGCAAAACAAGUGCCUUCUUCAAUUCUUAGCCCAACUCAUUGUUCAUCUGCAGUUCCAUCAGCAGCAGUUGUGUGGGGCGUCCAUCUAAUUGCAUGUCAAAGAUGGAAUGUCUACAUGAUUAUCCUGCAGGGGUAGUUAGGCCAAAAUUGAGUAGUUGUAGAUUUCACUUAGCAAAGUGCGAUAAUUUCCAUUUGCAAACAGCAUCCUUGGGGAGCAGCAUACAUUUUCCUGUUUUAUGUCUAUUGGUAAUAAUCAGAGGAGCAUAAAGUUAUCUCUGAGAAACAAAUCUUAUAUGCUCUAACCCACAUGUGUGAUGUUUGGAAUGGAAACUUAAGGGCUGGCUGUUCUACCAAGUAAAGUUGCCACUUCAUCCUUGCACCACCUGAAUUGUAUGAUUGAAGAUGUGGUCUCUGCUAGAACAUGACUCUUGAGUCUAGCUGUUGUGAUAUUUUCCUCAAUAGGUAUCCUGGAUGUGUGUAUAAGUUGUCUCAAAAGAUUUUGUAGAGACAAGAAAGGAUGAGUUGGUUAUAUUUUCACUAUCACCUGGUUUUUGUUUUUUGUUUUUUUUUUGGCAGUUAUGUAUUUUUUUUUUAAUCAUUAUUUUUCCUUGCUUGAGAUGUCUUGAAUCAUUUUUAUGCCCUAAUAAUUGUACAAGUUGCCUUCAGCACAGAUAACUUCUGUGUAUAUUGGCCUGUUACAUUAUCUAUAAUCCAUCAAAUGGCAUUCCUUAAUUGUUAAUAAAGUUGUCAAACUUUCUAUACACCAAUUUUUUUCUAUGGCCUCUCACUAUUCUAAGAUGUUUACCAUCCUGCAACACAAGAUUUUGUUAGAUCAGUUUGUGCUUACAAAUUGUUGUGUCCCUAAGCUACAAUUUUUUGAUCGACAAAGGAGGACUAGAAGCUGCCUGAAGCAGUUUUCAAGUUCAGCAAUUAAAUGGUGCUGGUCUAUGUUGAUAUAUUUUGUUAUAUUACAGUGUAAAAUGCUUAUUUAAGUAGGUUAGGUUAGUUAUUUUUAUUGGGAUCUUCUCAUUUUUUAUUCUCAGUAGCUGCCAUUUUUUGAUACAUUUUCUGACAGCUAUUAUGUUCACUUUUGCAUUGAAAUCUAGUAUUUAUACAUUUGUUUAAUUUGGAAGGUCUUAAAUCAGUCAUUUCUCUACCAUCUCCUUUUAAACAAAGUAUAAGUUUUUUUUGCUUGUCCAUGAGUCUCUGGCAAGUGAGAUCACCAAAAGUAUGCCAAGAAAUUGUUUCUUCUUUUGGGAUACAUUAUGAAGCUAUCUCUGCAAUUUUUUUUUAAUCUUAGUUUUAGCUCCCAGUUUUAUUUACAAGAAUUUCAAUGUUGAUGUGAUUCUCCCCUUCUUCCCCCAGUUUUUCACAUAAUAGGUAGUCUUGAUAAUAGGACUAGUGUCCCACUUUUAAUAACAAAAGUUAAAUCAAUGUUUAUAGAUAACCCCACCUUUUUUCUUUCCCAUCGUUCUUGUUAAUGUCCCUAAAGGAACAAAUGAGGGCAAAAGAAUUGAGUCUCUUUGUAUUUUUCAUGGUGGAACCUAUUAUAGCUCAUUUGCUUUAAGGCUGUUGUAAAACACGUCAGUGGGAAAAUACAUGAUCAUAAAAAGUUUAUGAAUCCGAUAACACUUUCAAAAUUAAUUUGCAUUUUAUUAAUCAACAUCUGUGUAACUUUCCUAAGUAAUAACAUUGUAAAAGAUAUGUUCAUCAUACAGAAGAUGUGUUUGCUGCUUAUACUGGUCACCCGCUUAUUUUGUUGGAAAUAAAGAUGAAAGUGAUA